UGAAACCUUUAUUUACUUAUACAACGACGGGUGCUUUGUUUGUAUUUUAUUGACACAACAGACGCACAAAUGUGCUAAAUAAUUCUCAAUGUUUAUUUUAUUUUAUUUUUUCAAAGAGAGCUCGUGUUUUAGCCUGCAUAUCGUAACACCAAAGGCGUCCUCUCGCAAACGUAUUUUACCUGUGAUUCAGCAUGUGGCCAACAGAAGAAGAAGAAGAGGAAACGUGUAUGGAUGGGCUACGGUGGUGUGUUUUCAGCUGGGUCAGUGCUGGAGAGACUUUGGUAGGUGCAUCAUGCAAGGAAUAGAGAAUAACAGAGCCAUAUAGUCUAUGGUCUUGGUCCUGGCUGAAGACAACCCUAAAGGUUCACAGAAGAUAUUCAGCGAAAUUCAGCUGAGCAGGCGGAUGGUGAAAGCUUUGGUUGACAAUAACAAGAUCCUCGUAUCUCUUGGUGGAGGGGAAUGCGCCUUUGGCUGGAUCAAGCUGGUUCAGAAGAACUGACCUUAAGUCUGCACUGUGCAUGCGACAGUGUCGCCCCCUUACAAGGUACCCCAAAUCCAGAUUGACUGUCACCUCACAACGGGGACGUGUGGACAGGGAAGGCACCGCCGACACCUGCGAAAAUUCAGACAAACACAAAACCAUUAAGCUGUGAUUUUCCAUUGACAUUCGACACAGUGCGUACUGAACACAUUUUGUGGUGAAAUCAUAACCAGUGGCAGUGAGUGCCCUUUGUUGAUGCUCCUCUCCAUAAAUUAAAGAGAGAUCAUUACCUUUAUGAUUUUGUACAAAUGUUGUCUAAUUUAUGACUGACCAUGUUGAAGGAAAAUCCAUAUGUAUGUUUUUAGCCAUUAGGCAGGUGGGUAAAUAAUACCAGUAACACGCAAAUGUGUGUAAUGCAUUGCAAAUAAAAUCAA